rnacentral:lncRNA from 1 species
UCCUGUUGCCUCAUAUCCUCACCAGUAUUUGGCACUGAUAGAGUGGUGACUUCCAAGCUUCAUGCAGAACCGGACAACAGAAAUUGAGAGGGAAAUUUCUAUGACAGAAGAGAGAAAGAAGAAAAUUGCUGGAAUAAUGACCUUGAAUAGAGGAAAUGGGAUAUCAUCUGGUAAGCAAAUAGAGAAGCUGGCUUUAGAUAAGAGCCUGGACAAUUCAUUCAUAGAAUAGCAGAAAAGGCAGAAUUUAUGUCCAUAGAUGCAAGUGGUAUAGUAGAUAUAGUGAUGGGAGUUUGUAAAAGUUACCUUCUAAUUGCUAUUUUUUUUAAUGAAAUAAGAAACAAAGUCAUCAACUCAAAGUGAGUAAUAUGUAGGAGGUGAUUAUUGUUUGAGGAGAG